rnacentral:tRNA from 1 species
GCUCCGUUCGUUCAAUGGGAGGACCCGGGUUUUUCACUCCCGGUACGCGGGUUCGAUCCCCGCACGGAGCA